AGUAUACAAGUGUGCUGUGAGUCCCACAGGAGACAGGCUGUACAUCAUCAGCUACUGGCAGGACAAGCUUCUCACCCUGGCCAGGGAUGGCACACUCCUGGCUACAUUGACAGUCCCAGCACUAGGUAGCCCACGUGGUCUACAUGUGACCCCUGCAGGCCAGGUGCUGCUGGUCUGUGAAUGGGGGUCCCACACUGUACUACAGGUGGGCUGGGAGGGAGAGAGUAAGCUGACUACUCUUGCUACUCAGGAGGAUGGAGUGUGGUUCCCACGGUCAGUCUGCUACAGCAGCACCACAUCAUCCAUCAUUGUGGGACUGUGGAGGGACGACAACAUCCUGGUGUUCAGAGUGGAAUAGUGUGUACAUUUGCUGCUGGGUCGGGACAACGAUGCUGAGGAUGUGGGGGACAAGCAUGACGCAGAAGGUGAGCACCAGCAUUGAUAUCCAGUUGGCCAAGCAACAGCACCAGUCCGGCCUGCAGGAGCCCCAAUACUAAAUGAUCCUUUGCCUUCCCUGAUCCCUAGCUCCUCCCACUGGACCUCCGGCCACAAAGGGUCAGCAUCAUAACACAAGUCUGUUCUGCAAUAAAUCCUCAGCACGUCAAGUUUUCACGCGCUGUUAUGAACAGCUGAAAUGUCUGUGUUGAGAUUUCCCCAAGCAAGCCCGAGUAGUUUUGUUUAGCUCUAGUGCCCGAGUGGGAUGAGUGUUACAGAAGCGAGACGUUAUAGCAGCACUUAUGGUAACGCUAACAGUUAACGCUAACAGUUAGUUCUCACUGUGGACAUCACGAAGAAUCUCACGAAGGAUUAAACAUUGAAUAGUUUGUUUAAUUCUUUAUAAGACAGCUAUAUAUUCAGCGAGGAACGGGAGCAAAUCAAGGAACAAUCGAAACGAUUCAUUCAGAAGUAUAUCUGCUGUAGAUAGUUAUGACAGUAGAAGCGUUACGGACUAUCCUCAGCGCACAAUAUAUUCAUGUGGUGUGCCUAAGACGCGAAUUCCCCACAUUAUUGAAAACAAGUUGCUAAAAAAUUCAACACGUACGGUUUUGCACUCCGAGGCCAAAGAGCAUCGCAUUGAAUUGAGACUAAAGAAGGCUUAAAAAUGUGACAACAGUUUUGUUGUAUGGUACAGUACGCCCUUCGACUCAACCCGAAGUUAAUCAGAACUCAAACUCAGCCCUUAACAAUAUCCGCGAGGCCAGCAUAUCAGCUCAGCUUCUGAGCUUCAGGACAGCACCACCAUUGAUAUCGAUUUUGCCCAGCAACAGCACAAGUCCGGCCUGCAGGAGCCCCAGUCCAGGACGACCCAUCCACUUCCCUGACCCAUAGCUCAUCAUACUUGAUAUCCGGAAAGAUGGGGCCUAAUGCAUGCGCUUAAAUUGUUGUCACAGAUAAGCCUGUGCAGUCCACACAGGCUAAUAAUGGACAACACUUUCCUCUUAAAGCAGAGCACCAGCAUUGAUAUCGAGUUGGCCCAGCAACCGCACCAGUCCCGCCUGCAGGAGCCCUAGUCCAGAAUGACACUUCCCCUCCCUUGACUUCUAACUCCUUCUCCUUGACCUCCUACCUCAAAAAGUCAGCAUCGUUGAACAGCUCUGUUCUUCAGGAAAUUCUGAGCAUGAUUCUGUUCUGACAAACGCAAUGUCCACGUCACGUUUUCCAAACAUAAGCCUGGGUAGUUUUGUUAAGCUAGAGUUCCGCGUGGGCCUGAUAGGAUGAGUGUUACAGACACGAAAAGUUAUAGCAGUAGUUAUGGUAACGCUAACAGUCAGUUGUUGCUGUUGGACAUAACAACAAAUAUCAUGAAGAAUAAAACGUUCAAUAACUUGUUCCAAUUUUUAUGGGACAAACAGAAAUUGAACAGGAGAAAAUCAAGGAAUAAUUGUUGUGAACACCCAGAGCACGAUACAUCCGUGGUGACACAGAUAGGCAGUAAUGACUUGGUUGUGAACUCCCAGAGCAAAAUACAUCCAUGCUGACACAGAAAGGAAGUAAUGACUUGGUUGUGAAUACCCAGAGCAUGCUACAUCCAUGCUGACACAGAAAGGAAGUAAUGACUAUGCAGUGAACACCCAGAGCACAAUACAUCCAUGCUGGCACAGAAAGGCAGUAAUGACUUGGCUUUAAACACACAGAGCACAAUACAUCCAUGCUGACACAGAUGGGCAGUAAUGACUAUGCUGUGAACACCCAGAGCACAAUACAUCCAUGCUGAAACAGAAAGGCAGUCAUGACUAUGCAGUGAACACCCAGAGCAAGAUAUAUCCAUGCUGACACAGAAAGGAAGUAAUGACUAUGAUGUGAACACCCAGAGCAAGAUUUAUCCAUGCUGAUACAGAAAGGCAGUAAUGACUAUGCUGUGAACACCCAGAGCACAAUACAUCUAUGCUGACACAGAAAGGCAGUAAUGACUUGGUUUGGAACACCCAGAGCACAAUAAAUCCAUGCUGACACAGAAAGGCAGUAAUGACUUGGCUGUGAACACAGAACACGAUACACCCAUGCUGACACAGAAAGGAAGUAAUGACUCGGCUGUGAACACAUAGCACAAUAUAUCCAUGCUAAAACAGAAAGGCAGUCAUGACUAUGCUUUGAACACCAAGAGCACGACGUAUCCAUGCUGACACAGAAAGGCAGUAAUGACUUGGCUGUGAACACCCAGAGCAAGAUAUAUUCAGGCUGACACAGAAAGGCAGUAAUGGCUAUGCUGUGAACACCCAGAGAAAGAUAUAUCCAUGCUGACACAGAAAGGCAGUAAUGGCUAUACUUUGAACACCCAGAGCAAGAUAUAUCCAUGAUGACACAGAAAGGCAGUACUGACUAUGCUGUGAACACCCAGAGCUCAAAACAUUGAUGCUGACACAGAAAGGCAGAAGGAAGUAAUGACUCGGCUGUGAACACAUAGCACAAUAUAUCCAUGCUAAAACAGAAAGGCAGUCAUGACUAUGCUUUGAACACCAAGAGCACGACGUAUCCAUGCUGACACAGAAAGGCAGUAAUGACUUGGUUGUGAACACCCAGAGCAAGAUAUAUCCAUUCUGACACAGAAAGGCAGUAAUGACUUGGUUGUGAACACCCAGAGCAAGAUAUAUCCAUGCUGACACAGAAAGGCAGUAAUGACUUGGUUGUGAACACCCAGAGAAAGAUAUAUCCAUGCUGACACAGAAAGGCAGUAAAGACUUGGUUGUAAACACCCAGAGCACAAUACAUCCAUGCUGACACAGAAAGGCAGUUAAGACUUUGUUGUAAACACUAAGAUAUCCAUACAUCCAUGGGGUUUGCCACAGACGCAAAUUACGCCCACCAUUUUGAACAAGGUGCUUAAAGUGAACACGUCUGGUUUUGUUAUGAGCACUUAUGAGUCCAAAAGGCCUCACAUUGAAUUGAUGCAAGAGAAAGGCUUUGACAAAUAACAGCAGUUUUGCUGUGUGGUCCAGUGCGCCCUUCGACUCGCAACCUUAAGAAAGCAGAACUCAAACUCGUCUCUAAGCAAUAUCAGCAAGGCCAGCAUGUCAUCUCAGCUUCUUGAGCUUCAGUGAACUUAACUAGCAAACAUGACAGACGUCAUUGAAGUGAAAGUCGAUGACAACCCCCUUCUUGCACAAAUACUACAAUUGCUUAAGAAAAUCAGCACGAAGACGUCUUCCGUCAGACUACCAAGCCUCCUAUCAAUAUCUCCUCCCAUGUUGGCUACAUCAACACUUCCAACAGCAGAGCCUUGGUGAGUUCGACUUCCGUCUCGGCAUCGAUGUCGCUUAGCAACAAUUGGAUGAUGGGCGUCGACAAAUUAGGCCGGACAAGUCGCUCGAACUGAAACGAUCUGAUCCAACAGGUAGAGCAAGCGUUGCGUGACACGUCCGUUAAUGUGACUGACCUCGAUAUGUUGUUCUCGGAUAAUGUGAACCUUAGGCCUGGAGAGCAGCAUGCGAUCGACACCAUUCAAGAACAGUUGUUCUUGGCAAUUCUCAGGUUUGGGGUGGCGACUUCAGCGUCAGGACUUGCUCCAUCUCUGUCUAUGGCCCAGUCGCAGCAGCAGCAGCAGCAGCAACAAGAACAAUAAAGCUAGUUCCUAGCAAUCAUAGAUCGGUACCCUGCUGAAAAACAGAAUCUCUGGUCAGCUGGUUCCAGAUGCCCAGCAACACUUCCAGGCCCAGGACCUUGGGGCAAAUGCUCAACAUGUCCUAUCUGCAUGAUUAAGCCAGUCUAAUUCUUGGGCUCCAAACUCUCCUGCUGUGGGGCCAAGAUUACCUCAUCCAUAAGAGGGCUUAUACUCACAAGUUCAGGCCCAGAGAGCGGUGUUCCCCAACUACAACACAACCAGUACGUCUCAAUAGAGAACACCCUUCCUGAAAACCUCGCUGAGUGCGACUGCGCCAUACGUGACCCUUCAGUGAAAUGAGAUUGCAGGCGGAAUGUCAAACCGGUACUACUCAGGUCUCCAGCAAUAGCCUCAGCCUUGGACGCAGGUUCAUGAUGCACCCAUGGCCUUACUUAUUUCUGAACAUCUCAAUCUCACAGCAAUUGAUGUGAAUUAAUGAUAAUAAGACUCCACAAACCACGUUUUUGAGAAGCGUAUCUUGUUCAGUGUCUGGCAGUACCAAGCCACGUCGACGCAGCAGCAAAAACAACAGUAGCAGUCUAGUGAAGGGUCACCCCGCAACUUUCAGUGCCUAGCAAUGAAAUCAUCCACCGUUACAUGUAGUUGGUCAGUAAAAUGAGCGUUUUAACUGCAUAUAAAGUAAAAAGAUAUUAUCAAACAACAUCUACAUUUCUCACGGGAUUAAAUUGAUACUUCAGUUGUUUGAUCCCCAUGAAGUCUUGGUUUGAUUGGUAGAUGGUCAUCUUGUGACAAAGCCCUAAAUUAUCAUUGGCCAAUUCACUUUUGCACAAGAUCAAAUUAAUAUCACUGUAUCUCACCACACAUGGGAAUUCAGAGGCUGUACAACUUAUAUUCUAUUCAGGGUUAAAGCCACACACCUUGAAUUGAAGUACUUGUUAAUCAAUACAUAUAGAUGCAAUUUGAAAGUGUGCAAAAUUGUCAUUAAAUCUAUAGCCUUCUUAGCAAGAAAUGUAUUCAAAAAAAAUUAAACCGAAAGUAUGAUUACUAUACGUUUACGUAUAUUUUGACAAACGCGAUUAUUUUUAAGUUUAAGCGCAAAAAAUAUGGAUUUUUACCUUGUAACCACCAGAUAUAUUAUAAUUGAGAUAGAUAAAAAUAAAUGUAUAGCCUAGAUAGCAAGUUCUUUUUUUUCAAACGUUUCUGCAUUUAAAACCGAAAGUAGGAUUUCUAGACGUAUACGUCCAUUUUGACAAACGCGAUUAUUUUUAAGUUUUGAAGCGCAAAAGAGACGGAUUUCUACCUUGUAACCACCAGAUAUAUUCUAAUUGGCAUAAAUCAAAUAUGGUUCUUAUUUAUACUUAAAUUUACUAUGUCAUGUAUUGCAUUUCAAGGUGCGUGGCUUUAAUAACUAACAUUGUGCCCACAGUUGUGUAAAGCUGUGUGAAGAUUUUUGUUUAAAAAAAAGAAUAAAGCAUUUGCGUAACUUGUAAUCAAUAGUGUUCAAUGAAGGAACAAUCAUUUUGAAAAUGACCAAUACUCCAGAAUUUAUUUGUCUUUUAACGGAUCUUGGUCAGUGUCUAGCAGUUUCCUUUCGACCAAGCCACGUCAGCAAAGCAGAAAUAACAGCAGCAGUCAAGUAAUUUGUCUUCCACGUUUGAGCUACCUAUUUGCCACGGUCUGUUGCAAAGUCCACUCAACAUGGAUUGUUUUAAUAAAACAAAUGGAGUUAAAGAAGAUUUUUGCUGAUUCCUGUGUAUGAUCUUAAUUGUAUAUGAAACAAUACAUGAACAACACUGAUGCAUAUGAAAGGUAGCUACUACAAGUAUUAAUGCACAAAUUAAAGAAUGAAUUUCUUUAUAAUUUUUAGUCAUUAUCUAAAAUUUGUUUCCAAACAUAUCUAAGCAUAUUGCUAUUGUUAUGCCGUAUAACAAAAUAAAACAAAGGGUUCAUUCAAAAUUUCUAGUUUUACUUUCAAAUUCAGUUUCAUUAUUAUUUUCAUUACAACAAAAUCAUAUAUCCAAAAAAUAUCAUAUACAAUCAAUAAUAAAAUAUUCGUACCUGCAUCUUAUUCUGUAUCAUAAUCUCUUUUUUGAUUAAAUAAUCUAUCUUAACCGGAUGUUUUUCGUUUAAAUCUGUAUUCCAAACUGAAACUUGUUUAUUUUCGAAUCAGCUAUUUAUACUUUUUCGGGCAUGACGUCAAUGACACGUGACGACCGUUAAAGUAAAAUAUAUACCAAUGAACGUAAUGUGAAAUGGCGGAUUUAUUGAAUGAAUGAGAAUCAAGUUUGAACAAUAAUAUUAUACAAAUACAAUGACAAAAACGUAAGUUAAGCCAUAUACAUCAAUGGAAAUCAAUAAAUAUGAUGUUUAUGAAUAUCAAUUUAUUUAGAUAAUAAGCAUUUUAAUUUGAUAAGGAGUGUUUGUUUACAUUUCACCAUGUAUUACGGAAUGGCCAAUGGGAGGAGUAACGGCCUAGCAAUAUAAUAUAUUGACUAUGCUUUGAUUUAUUGUUUGAUUAAAUCACUCUGCCA